GGGGAAUCUUCCGCAAUGGGCGAAAGCCUGACGGAGCAACGCCGCGUGAGUGAUGACGGCCUUCGGGUUGUAAAACUCUGUGAUCCGGGACGAAAAGGCAGAGUGCGAAGAACAAACUGCAUUGACGGUACCGGAAAAGCAAGCCACGGCUAACUACGUGCCAGCAGCCGCGGUAAUACGUAGGUGGCAAGCGUUGUCCGGAAUUAUUGGGCGUAAAGGGCUCGUAGGCGGUUCGUCGCGUCCGGUGUGAAAGUCCAUCGCUUAACGGUGGAUCCGCGCCGGGUACGGGCGGGCUUGAGUGCGGUAGGGGAGACUGGAAUUCCCGGUGUAACGGUGGAAUGUGUAGAUAUCGGGAAGAACACCAAUGGCGAAGGCAGGUCUCUGGGCCGUCACUGACGCUGAGGAGCGAAAGCGUGGGGAGCGAACAGGAUUAGAUACCCUGGUAGUCCACGCCGUAAACGGUGGAUGCUGGAUGUGGGGACCAUUCCACGGUCUCCGUGUCGGAGCCAACGCGUUAAGCAUCCCGCCUGGGGAGUACGGCCGCAAGGCUAAAACUCAAAGAAAUUGACGGGGGCCCGCACAAGCGGCGGAGCAUGCGGAUUAAUUCGAUGCAACGCGAAGAACCUUACCUGGGCUUGACAUGUUCCCGACAGCCGUAGAGAUACGGUCUCCCUUCGGGGCGGGUUCACAGGUGGUGCAUGGUCGUCGUCAGCUCGUGUCGUGAGAUGUUGGGUUAAGUCCCGCAACGAGCGCAACCCUCGCCCUGUGUUGCCAGCACGUCGUGGUGGGAACUCACGGGGGACCGCCGGGGUCAACUCGGAGGAAGGUGGGGAUGACGUCAGAUCAUCAUGCCCCUUACGUCCAGGGCUUCACGCAUGCUACAAUGGCCGGUACAACGGGAUGCGACACCGCGAGGUGGAGCGGAUCCCUUAAAACCGGUCUCAGUUCGGAUUGGAGUCUGCAACCCGACUCCAUGAAGGCGGAGUCGCUAGUAAUCGCGGAUCAGCAACGCCGCGGUGAAUGCGUUCCCG
rnacentral:rRNA from 1 species